rnacentral:rRNA from 1 species
CCUUUGACGUUAGCGGCGGACGGGUGAGUAACACGUGGGUAACCUACCUAUAAGACUGGGAUAACUUCGGGAAACCGGAGCUAAUACCGGAUAAUAUUUCGAACCGCAUGGUUCGAUAGUGAAAGGNGGUUUUGCUAUCACUUAUAGAUGGACCCGCGCCGUAUUAGCUAGUUGGUAAGGUAACGGCUUACCAAGGCGACGAUACGUAGCCGACCUGAGAGGGUGAUCGGCCACACUGGAACUGAGACACGGUCCAGACUCCUACGGGAGGCAGAGCC